GGCGCUGUAGCUUAUUGGUAAAGCGCCUCUCUCGUAAACAGGAGAUCGUCGGUUCGAGUCCGCCCACUGCUU
rnacentral:tRNA from 1 species